rnacentral:rRNA from 1 species
CGGGACGGGUGAGUAAUGCUUGGGAAUCUAGCUUAUGGAGGGGGAUAACUACGGGAAACUGUAGCUAAUACCGCGUAAUAUCGAAAGAUUAAAGCGUGGGACCUUCGGGCCACAUGCCAUAGGAUGAGCCCAAGUGGGAUUAGGUAGUUGGUGAGGUAAAGGCUCACCAAGCCGACGAUCUCUAGCUGGUCUGAGAGGAUGACCAGCCACACUGGGACUGAGACACGGCCCAG